AUGGCUUUUAUAUAAAAGCACUUCCCAGACUGUCCGGUCUCAGAAACAGAAAAUAAUUUCAGCUGCAAAGUUUAAACAUUGGAGAAAAAGAAGAAAAUGGAUUUUAGCCAAGGCUGCAAGGUACAUUUUCAUCUUCUAGGACACGAUGUACAGAUCUGUCUCAGUAAAAAUCAUGAAUGAGAUGAAUGCUGUUAUUGACACUAGGACAAGAAGAAGAAAACCAUAGACCAGUCCAUGCUACUGUGCUGCAAGCUUUUCAUAUCUGAAUCACGAAACCUCGCUGUUCUCGACGCCAUUGAAAGUGCUGCCAGGCUCGACCCGAAGUCCGUCAUCAUUAACAAGUUUGAGGACCGAGCAUACAAUGGUGUCAUGUUAUGCAUGAUAGCACAGGAAGUGCCAUAUAUAGCCCCUUGCAGCAUACUGUCAUGAAAAUGGCUGAAGCAGCAUUUGGAGCCACCAACCUUGAGCAGCACUCCGUGGCUCGCCCUCAGUUGGGGGUUGUCGACGACAUUGUCUUCCACCCGUUUGCUCGGGCAUAUAUGGAUGAAGCUGCUUGGCUUGCUAGGGCAGUGGCAGUGGACAUUGGCAAUAGAUUCUAAGGUUGGUCCUAAGGUUUCAAACACCACUUUUAUGUUGAGUUUGAAUCUCUUCCCGUAGUUUAUAUUAAUUUAGCGUAGAUUGUAAGAAAAACUCAUCUUUAAUUCUGUACGUUAGAACCAGUAUAUUUGUAUGCCGCAGCACACGUUACAGGCAAGGCACCAGACACAAUCAGGCGUGAUAGGCUACUACAAACCCAAUUUCAUGGGGAGCCAAUGGGUAGGAUGGCCCAUGCCAGACGUUCUCCAAGAAAAGCCCGAUGAAGGCCCAACAAGCGUAUCCCCGGCAAGAGGAAUCUCAAUGAUCGGGCACGUCCGUGGGUUGCCUUGUACAGCAUUCCCGUAUUGUCCACGGAUGUUGCGGCCACUCAACUGGUUGCACGGAUGGUGAACGCCCGAGGGGGAGGACUUCCAACAGUGCAAACACUAGGCCUUGUGCAUCGUGAGGACUCAACAAAGAUAGCUUGCAUGCUCUUAGAGCCCAACCCGGUUGGAGUGGACCGGGUCCGGAACCACAUCGAGAUGCUUGCGGCACAAGGUCACUGAUCACUCACCAGAUAUGAUUAUUGAAAAAUACAUGAAACUAAUUUCAUCUGCAGAACAAUAAAGCCAAGUGGAUAUUGUGAAUUUGCAUCUUCUAUUUAUUUCUCAAAAAAAAAAAAAAAAUCAAUGUCAUUUUACAUCAGCCUUGUAAAUAUAUGGUACAGUAAUGUACAUUUGGGUUCUUUUGUUCCAACUCUUA